CCCUUAGAUGUCCGGGGCUGCACGCGCGCUACACUGAAGGAAUCAGCGUGCUAAAACCAUUGUCGAAAGGCAUUGGUAAACCCAUUAAAAUCCUACGUGAUUGGGAUCGGGAAUUGCAAUUAUUUCCCUUGAACGAGGAAUUCCCAGUAAGUGUGGGUCAUAAGCUCGCGUUGAUUACGUCCCUGCCCUUUGUACACACCGCCCGUCGCUGCCCGGGACUGAGCCGUUUCGAGAAAAGCGGGGACUGCUGCUGUCGGGGCUUUCGGGCCUUGACUUCGGUGGAAACCGCUUUAAUCGCAGUGGCUUGAACCGGGCAAAAGUCGUANCA
rnacentral:rRNA from 1 species